CACAGAAUCAUAGAACAUUUUGAAUUCUGAAAGGUUGCUCUCUGAUCUCCCAAAGCCUCCUCCAAUUUGAAUAGACCUAGCUCUUUCAGCCUGUUCUUGUAGGAGAUGUGUUUAAUCCCUUGGAUCUCUUGUGUCCCUCCUCUGUUUGCUCACCAACAGGUUCAUGUCUCUCCAGUACUGAGGACUCCACAGUUGCAUGCAGUACUCCUGAUGCAUUAUGCCAUCAUAGAGGGUGGUGCUGAGCUUCCUGUUGAGUUAAACUACAACAAAUAUUUACUGUAUGAAAGCAUCAGCUAACUAUCAGAUUGACCAAGAUUCAGGGGCCUUCACCAUCUAAAAUUAAUUCCUUCUGGAGAACAGGCAAACAUACAAUGAAUAUUUGAACAAAAAAGCAUGUGUUAGUAUAAUUGAACUACUGAUCUAUCACUGUGUGAAUUACACCAGAGAUCUCAAGAAAAAGCAAUGGCUGGGCAUUACUUUCCAACAGCAAAGGAGGAAAAAUAGUGAAAAAGGCUCUGUGGUUAUCAGAAGUUUGGGAUUCUCCUGAGUAGAAAGUCAAAGUCUUGAGGCUUGUAUAAUCUAUUAAAAAAUGGAGAAGAGGUUCUGAACUUGUCUGAUCUGAAGACAUGACAAAAAAUAUAUAUCUACUGGUCUCAUUUAAUAACUAAUUGUCAUAUGCAUUAAAUUCUGUUCAAUCUUCAA